UACGUAGGGUGCAAGCGUUGUCCGGAAUUAUUGGGCGUAAAGAGCUCGUAGGCGGUCUGUCACGUCUGCCGUGAAAACCCGAGGCUUAACCUCGUGGCUUGCGGUGGAUACGGGCAGACUAGAGGUAGGUAGGGGAGAAUGGAAUUCCCGGUGUAGCGGUGAAAUGCGCAGAUAUCGGGAGGAACACCGGUGGCGAAGGCGGUUCUCUGGGCCUUACCUGACGCUGAGGAGCGAAAGCGUGGGGAGCGAACAGG
rnacentral:rRNA from 1 species